rnacentral:rRNA from 1 species
AAAGCGCAUGCAGGCGGCCUGUUAAGUCAGAUGUGAAAGCCCGGGGCUUAACCUCGGAAUUGUCAUUUUGAAACUGGCAGGCUAGAGUCUUGUAGAGGGGGUAGGAAUUUCUAGGUGUAGCGGUGAAAUGCGUAGAGAUCUGAAGGAAUAUCAGUGGCGAAGGCGGCCCCCUGGACAAAGACUGACGCUCAGAUGCGAAAGCGUGGGGAGCAAACAGGAUUAGAUACCCUGGUAG